CCUGCCAGCACUGUGGCUUUGGCAGGUUGCUUCAGCCUUCUGGUCCUUCAUAUCUGCAUCUGAAAAUAAAGUACUGGGCCUGGCGCAGUGGCUCACGCGUGUAAUCCCAGCACUUUGGGAGUCUGAGGCAGGUAAAUCACCUGAGGUCAGGAGUUCCAAACCAGCCUGACCAACAUGGUGAAACCCCCUCUCUACUAAAAAUACCAAAAAGUAGCUGGGCGUGAUGACGGGCGCCUGUAAUCCCAGUUACUCAGAAGGUUGGGGCAGGAGAAUCGUAUGAACUCAGUAGGCGGAGGUUGCAGUGAGCCCAGAUCACACCACUGCACUCCAGCCUGAGUGACAAGAGUGAGACUCCGUCUCAAAAAAAAAAAAAAAAAAAAAAAAAAAAAAGUAAAAAAAAAAAAGAAACAAGUGAGCUGGGCAUGAUGCUGACACUGCAGUCCCAGCUGCUCGGGAGGCUGAGGUGGGAGGAUCAUUUGAGCCCAGGAGUUUCACACUGCACUCCAGCC
rnacentral:lncRNA from 13 species